AAUAGAUACCCGGGUAGUCCACGCCGUAAACGAUGGAUGCUAGCUAUUGGGGGGAAUCGACCCCCUCCGAAGCGAAGCUAACGCGUUAAGCAUCCCGCCUGAGUAGUACGAGCGCAAGCUUAAAACUCAAAGGAAUUGACGGGGACCCGCACAAGCGGUGGAGCGUGUGGUUUAAUUCGAUGGUAAACGAAGAACCUUACCAAGGUUUGACAUCCCGGUAGCCGUUCUCCGAAAGGAGAAUUUCAUUUAGUUGGACCGGUGACAGGUGAUGCAUGGCCGUCGUCAGCUCGUGUCGUGAGAUGUUGGGUUAAGUCCCGCAACGAGCGCAACCCUUAUGAUUUAGUUGGAUUUUUCUAAACAGACUGCCCUGGUAACAGGGAGGAAGGAGGGGAUGAUGUCAGGUCAGUAUUUCCCUUACACCUUGGGCGACACACGCGCUACAAUGGCCGGUACAAUGGGCAGCCAACCCGCGAGGGGGAGCAAAUCCCAUCAAAACCGGUCUCAGUUCGGAUAGCAGGCUGAAAUUCGCCUGCUUGAAGCCGGAAUCGCUAGUAACGGUG
rnacentral:rRNA from 1 species